UACGAGAGGCCCAAACGUUAUUCGGAUUUACUGGGCUUAAAGAGUUCGUAGGCGGUGCAGAAAGUGGGGUGUGAAAGCCCUCGGCUCAACCGAGGAAUUGCGCUCCAAACUACUGUACUAGAGGAAGCUAGAGGUGAGCAGAACAGAUGGUGGAGCGGUGAAAUGCGUUGAUAUCAUCUGGAAUACCGGAGGCGAAGGCGGCUCACUGGGGCUUUUCUGACGCUGAGGAACGGAAGCCAGGGUAGCGAACGGG
rnacentral:rRNA from 1 species